UCAACCACAAAACCCCCAACAAAACCCUAGCUUGAAUCCAAAAUUAAAAUUCAAUCUCAACAGAGGAAUCGAGAGUGAAAAUGGGGAGGAUUCCACAGGCUUUCAAGAGGGUAGCCGCUCAAUCGCCGGUUUCCACUCUCCUCAAGGCUAAAACCUCUUCCGCUUUGCAAGAAGACAAAGCUCCUCCUCAUUCGCAGCGGAAGAAGAUUUUUUCCCAGAAAAAUCCCGUCGCCAAAAAUGAUUCAGCUGCAAAAUCAACACUUCCGUCGCUCUUCUUUGAGUCUGCAAAUCUCUCCGACGCCAAAUCCCUUUUCAAUUCGUUCAUUUCCUCCACCACCGACGCCCCUUCCGAGCCCAGCUUCUACAAUUCAAUCCUACAAUCAUUCUCCUCCGUUUCAUCGCUCCAAGAUUCGAUCUUUUUCCUCAACCACAUGGUGAAGCAGCACCCCCCUUUCUGCCCCAACCGUUUCACCUAUCACACACUUCUCAAGCAGGCUUGUUCCUCCGCGGAUGAGCCGUCUCUCUCCGCUGUACACAAUGUGCUCAACCUCAUGACCAACAGCGGCUUCCCGCCCAAUCAGGUCUCCACAGAUGUUGCCGCGAGGGCCCUCUGCGAAUGCGGACGAGAAGAGGACGCUGUCGAGCUCGUUAAGGAGCUCUCGACUAAGAAUUCGCUGCCCGACACGUACACUUACAAUUUCAUGGUGAGACAUUUGGUGAAGAAGAGGUCUUUGAGUUCUGCGAAUUCGUUUAUAACUGAUAUGAAAGAGUUCGGUAUAAAUCCGGACCUUGUUACGUAUACUAUAAUGAUUGAUAAUGUGUGCAACACCAAGAAUUUGAGGGAGGCGAUGAGGUUGUUGAGAGUGUUGAGUGAGGAAGGGUUCAAGCCUGAUUGCUAUGUGUACAAUACGAUUAUGAAGGGCUAUGCUCAUUUGAGUCAAGGUGGUGAUGUGUUGGGAGUGUAUAAUAGAAUGUUGGACGAGGAGGUUGUGCCGGAUCAUAUUACUUAUAACACUUUGAUAUUUGGAUUGUCGAAAUCGGGUAGGGUUAAGGAUGCUAAGAAGUUCUUGCUAGUGAUGACUGAGAAAGGCCAUACCCCGGAUGCCAUUACUUAUACUUCGUUGAUGAAUGGAAUGUGCAGAGAAGGAGAUGCUUUGGGGGCAUUAGCGUGGUUGGGGGAGAUGGAACGGAAGGGGUGUAGUCCAAAUUCAUGUACGUAUAACACUUUGCUUCUUGGAUUGUGUAAGGGGCGGCAGCUGAAUGAAGGAAUGAAGGUGUAUGAAAUGAUGAAGAAAUGCGAUAUGAAGCUGGAAACUGGGUCAUACGGGACACUCUUAAGAGCAUUAUGCAGGCAGGGUAGAGUUGGCGAAGCUUAUGAGGUUUUUGACUAUGCCGUUGAGAGCAAAAGCAUACCAGAUGUUGCGGCUUAUUCGACGUUGGAAAGUACUCUUAAGUGGUUGAAGAAAGCCAGAGAGCAAGGCCUUGCUGUUUGACAAAAGCUGCUGGCUCUUUUUUUCUUUAAAAUAUUUAGUGUAAGUGGUUAUUGUUGGUUAAGUAGUGAUAACAAUACUUAAUGUUCUUUGUCUAUUUCAAUGAAUUUCGUUGGAUGUUCCCUUACAUUGGCCUUUUCUUAAAUAUAUAGGCAGAUUACACCCUUAAGACUCUGUGAAUAUGGAUUUCUCUAUUGUAUAAUAUUUCUUGUUGUCAUAUGUAAGAAGGUCAUUGAAGAAAUAAGCAGACAGUGUCGUUUAUCUGCUCCGCUAUCUUAAAGGGCUAUAGGUAUGUUGGAUUCUUUUUUUUCAGAGUUGAUUUAGAGGAAGUCUUGUUAGAAGCAAUAGAUUGUGAAGAUCCCACCAGAACUGGAGAGAAGCACCAUGCCGAAUAAUAGUUUGCCAUAUGUGAGCCAUUUGUUCAAAAUAGCUUAUGUAAUAAGGGGCUAUUAUAUCGAUGAUCGAAGUAUCAUUUACAAUAGGCUUAAUCAGUAGGCCUUUUACUUGUGUAAAUACUUCAAUACAUUUAUGAUUUAUCAAUGGUUCUUCUAAUCCUCAUAGAUUCAAAGUGCAGCCAUUUUUUUACAUUUAUUUUCUGGGAAUGUCUUGUAUAAGUGUCUGAGUGAAUUGUUCUGGAAUGAAAAUAAUUGGAAUAGAGCUAAUGUAAAGAACUUGCAAUGAUCUAAGAUAUUGUACUUGCCAUAAAUUGUAAACAGAGCACCAUAAAAAAUCCUUAGCUACCUCAGAAGCAAAAACUGGGCUUUCAAAUUCGUUCAUCGAUUAACUGUGUCCUAUUUGUGUCUUUAGCCAUAUUUUUCCCACAUCUGCCACUUUGAAGCUUAUUGUGUGCCUGCAGGGUAUAUUGCAGCAGAUUGAUGUUCUGCUGGUUUCAAUUCUGUCAUCCUUCACUAUUCUCUAGCUUUGAUGAGCAGUCAUGUGGCACUGCAAGUUUAAAAAAUGAAGAUUGUAUAACCUUUUCAUUUUGAGGUUGCUUUGGUUGUUGGUAGAGCAGAUCAAACAAGGAUACAGAACAAAUUGGAAAAAAUCACUCGCGAAUAUAUCUUAGCCUUAGCAUAUUUCACAAUUUUUUAAGUGUGAUUGAUUAUUUAUGAUAUCACUUAUUUUGCAGGUUCGUUCGAUAUCAACAAUAUUUAACCUAUUUGUAGAAAGGCAUGUGAUACAUGUUCAGAGCAGCUUCUUAAAUUAUCCGCUAUAGUUCAGACAUUGCUCGUAAGAUCACAUGCUCGCUGUAGUGGAGUAAUAAGCUAUGAAUUGCUCCAUAUUGGUUGUAGUGGAGCUGCAGAAAUCUCAUAGUAGUUGUUUCAUGUAAGGUAGCCAUGAUUUAUAAAUCAAAUUGUCUUGAUUCGAUUCUUUGUAUAGGGGUAAGCUUUCUUUUCUUUUAUAAAAUUGAAAGAAGUUAAAUGCA